AAACAGAAAGUGUCCCUUUUCCCCUCUGCUCUUCCUCCAGCAGUGCAGUGUGGUCCACUGGCAAGAGAAGGUGACAGCAGAAGGCAUCCUCUAUAAGGGUGCUGCGAGGGAAGAACACUGUUAAGUGAGCCAUGUGAGUGAGGGAUUUAUCUCCUGCUUAUGAAACAGUCAGCUCCUUUCUCAGCUUCAAAGAGAACAAAAAGCCCUCACCCAGUGGCUGAUGGAAGCAGAGGCAGACACCCACAGAUAUACACUGAACUGAACUCUGGAACUUUGUUGAACCCAAUGACAGCUCUGGAGAAGAUAUCACUGCCAAAGAAAAUGAAAGCAGCCUGGAAAUAUAAGCAUAAGACAGAGAAAAUACAACAGUCAGGGCAGAGAAUGUUAGCUCCAGGAAAAAAAUUGAAGAGAGGAAAAGGUCUGAAGAGCUCUUAUGUCAAGUCUAGAUUCUUUUCAGCUCUUUGUUAAAGCACCAAGAUAAACAGACCAGGGUGAACCUACUGGAAAAACAAACACAUGUGUAUACUUUAGACAUUGGAAAUAAGACAUCUGAUCAUCAAAACAAGCAUCAGCUGUGUGUGACUCUUUUGGCUCUCUGAAGAUCAAGAAGUCAAAUGGGUUUAAAGACUGGCUCUACUGUUAAGAGGACUUUGGGAGCCCAUUCACUAUGGAGGGAUACUAUUGCAGCCCAGAUACAGCAAGGAGGGCCUAGGCCCUCCCCCAAAUGAUAUGACAGACUUGGAAGGUCCCUUGUGGAGGACCUCACUAUCCCUGGGGAGAAGUUAGGGGGUUGGGAGUAACAUGGGAGGAUGGGAAGUCAAGGGAAUGGGGGGAUGGAUAUGUAAAUAUCAGUAGUAAUUAAAGAAUUAAAAAAAAGAAGUCAAAUAGUUCAAUUGGAAUUGCUGAACCAGCGUCAUGAGUUUGCUUUCAUAGUGGCAUUGUUCACUCUCCAGGGAGGCCCUUAAAACGGGAAAAUUUCCCUCACCCUAAAGUCCAGCUGCUGCAAACUAAAACCUAGUGGAAUGUCUCAAGCACACCAUGUGGUACCUAAUCACCUACUAUUGAGAUCUGCUGGUCCAUGUUGACCACUGUAGGAAGCAGCAGAUAUUUCUCACUCUUAUACCAGAAAAUUCUGGACAGUAGUCUAUGUUUGCUUAUGGACACUUGGAAUCACACCUUCCAUCUCUUGCAUAAGCAUCUACCCAUCAACCACUCGCACUCUGGCAUGCCAG
rnacentral:lncRNA from 1 species